GCAGCUCCCAGCCUCCUCUUCCCGGCUGGGCGCCCUCGCUCCGCCUCGAAGCUGCGGCUUGGCUUUUCCUUCGUCAACACCACUCUGACUCUCCUAAAUCUUGACCAGAGGGGAAGGGGUGCUUUGGCGCAUGCAUCUCCCCGUGUCCCCUCCCGCUACCCUCUGGCUUGUAAUAACAAUGGAGUUGCCCGCGGUCUGGAAAGCAGUGUUGGGUCCGAGUGGGCCGGCGAAGGGCGAGAGGGGUUGGGACGCCAAGGGUUAAGUUCCAGCCCCGGCAAUGGAAGGGAAGCGGGAGUUUGCCGCCUGGGUGGAAUUCUAGCCUCUCCGGGCGGCCACCAGCCCUCGCCGCCUGAGCUGCACUUGCUCCCUCGUCUGGCCCGCGAGCAACAGGCUCUGAGGCCGGGCUCACCCCGGAGCUAGUGCUCCUCCUGCCACUGGUGCCUGGGUGCGUCUGGAACCCCUGCGAGUGGGCCGGUCCAGGACCUCCUGUAUAAAGCAGGCAUCCUCUGACUUGAUAAAUAUGAGUCUGGAACAAAAUUAAAAGGAAACAACAUCUGCUGGAAAGAGGAAUUAUUUAUUACUGUAGUUUCUUGCCAACAUUGAACUCUGAGGAAAUCCACUAAAUGGAGAAAGCGAACCAAUCCAGGAUUACAUUUUAGUAAUCCCCCGAAGAAAAAAUGGGGGAACACUAUGAAGAAAAGAUACAAAGAAGGCCCCGAUCUGUGUUUGGGAAACUGGAGGACGAACAUGAGAGCAGUAGUUGGAAUGCACUUCAAUAAUGACAAGUGCCAUCUUCUUGCUGAAAGAGGGACUGUGCGAAGAUUACUUAAUUUAAGAGGGCGUGCUCUCUUCUUCAGCAUGAACCUGUUCUGUGUCGUCUCAGAAAAUCACUCUUUGUUCUUAGGGUGUAUGUGUGGGAGAGAAAAAGACAGAUGUGCAAAUCUGAUACAGUUUUGAAUUUGUAAAUAAGCAGGAAGAAUGACGAGGCAUGUUGUUGCCUCGCACCAGUGGAAGGAUGCCCUACUGGGCGGGUCCUCGAAGCCCCACUAUUCAUCCGUCUACAACCCUCCCUGUUUAUGUCAUUCUGGACUGAGUUAUUCAGUAUUUGGGAAGUAAGCUACCGAGUCCAAUGUAUUACACUGGUUCCAAGAGAAUGGGGAUUUUCUUAAGUAGAAAUGGAAGUUGACAAUGAAGGUUUAAGCGUUUGUGAGAGAAAAGAAGGGACAGCAGGACAGGGAAGCAAAUCUAGAAACUACAGUAUUCCCUCAAAGAGCUUCCCUGUGAGUGGAUUAAGCUGUUUUGUUUUGUUUUGUUUUCCUUUCCUUUCCCCUUAGACUGUGGAAACAUAUCUUCAUGUUUUAUGUUAUAAAUUUUAAAUGUAACUUUGAUGUUUGAGAUUUGUAGAA